rnacentral:rRNA from 1 species
UACAGAGGGGGCAAGCGUUGUUCGGAAUUACUGGGCGUAAAGGGCGCGUAGGCGCCUUCUAAGUCGAACGUGAAAUCCCCGGGCUCAACCCGGGAACUGCGUCCGAUACUGGAAGGCUUGAAUCCGGGAGAGGGAUGGUGGAAUUCCAGGUGUAGCGGUGAAAUGCGCAGAUAUCGGGAGGAACACCAAUGGCGAAGGCAGCUCGCUGGGACGGUACGUGACGCUGAGGCG